ensembl:lncRNA
GUGGGGCAGCCAUAGACUCUCCCUCUCCUACUGAAAAAGAGACAGUGCCGGUUGAUAUAUUAUUGAUUAUAUAUUUUUAAAACAAGCUGAGGAUUGAUUAUGAAAAACGUUUGACAUGUUUCUGUGGACAUUACGGAUACUAUUUGGAAUUUUCAUCUGUGUUGUCAUGACCGCUCGAGCCUGUGGAUUUCUGAAUAUAACGCGCCAAACAAACAGAAGUAUUUUGGAUAUAAAAUAAUCUUUACGGAACUAAAGGAACAUUUAUUGUGUAACUGGGAGUCUCGUGAGUGCAAACAUCUGAAGAUCAUCAAAGAUAAUGGGGCCGGCUAUAGGGUUAGCCCUGACAUCCAUCUGCUUCCAAUUCACUGUCGUCAAGACCGGCUCUCUUGCUCGCUAGAUAUCCCACCCAUUCCAUGUUCUAUCUGUGACUCGACACAAUCGUGUCUCGGAACUCUAUGGACAAUUCCUUUGACC